CAGUAGCUAUAUCGCAGCGAGUUACAUGAAAUGCGAUUUCAUUUAUCCGCACGAAAAAAUUUUGCUGAAAUAUUUAAAAAUAAAGCAUUACGUGAUGGAAUCGUUGCUUGCGGAAAAGUCUCUUCACGUCUCUUAGAAAGUUACUCCAUUAUUAAGACGCAGACUAAUCCCUUUGCGUUAUCGCGUCUUCGCACUUCAACGAACACAAGGACUAACCCUUCGAGGCCGCGUCACGGGAAAAUACAAACUAGCGAUUCAUCGAGUAGGGUGCUUGCCGGAAAUUGACUGCAGGCGCGAUGUAAAUC